UGCAGUCGAGGGGCAGCAUGAUUUGUAGCAAUACAGAUUGAUGGCGACCGGCGCACGGGUGAGUAACGCGUAUGCAACUUACCUAUCAGAGGGGGAUAGCCCGGCGAAAGUCGGAUUAAUACCCCAUAAAACAGGGGUCCCGCAUGGGAAUAUUUGUUAAAGAUUCAUCGCUGAUAGAUAGGCAUGCGUUCCAUUAGGCAGUUGGCGGGGUAACGGCCCACCAAACCGACGAUGGAUAGGGGUUCUGAGAGGAAGGUCCCCCACAUUGGUACUGAGACACGGACCAAACUCCUACGGGAGGCAGCAGUGAGGAAUAUUGGUCAAUGGCCGAGAGGCUGAACCAGCCAAGUCGCGUGAAGGAAGAAGGAUCUAUGGUUUGUAAACUUCUUUUAUAGGGGAAUAAAGUGGAGGACGUGUCCUUUUUUGUAUGUACCCUAUGAAUAAGCAUCGGCUAACUCCGUGCCAGCAGCCGCGGUAAUACGGAGGAUGCGAGCGUUACCCGGAUUUAUUGGGUUUAAAGGGUGCGUAGGUGGUGAUUUAAGUCAGCGGUGAAAGUUUGUGGCUCAACCAUAAAAUUGCCGUUGAAACUGGGUUACUUGAGUGUGUUUGAGGUAGGCGGAAUGCGUGGUGUAGCGGUGAAAUGCAUAGAUAUCACGCAGAACUCCGAUUGCGAAGGC
rnacentral:rRNA from 1 species